GAUGUCUCAGGACGUCCUUUCAAUAUCUCAUCUCUUACUACAUCAAGAAGAUUUUCUGGAAGCUGCACAACACCAUUCAAUAUCUGCAUAACCACACUCAUAUCCGGUCUUAUUGACUCAGAUUGAUGUGAACACAACACACCUAGCUUCAAAACCAGCUCAAUCUCUCCCCUGUUUUGUUCUUGACGUAUACAUUCCUCUGCCGCAUCGAAAAUGUUCCCAUUUACCCAAAGCUCUAAGA